rnacentral:tRNA from 1 species
GGACGUGUGGCUCAGCAAUAGAGCACCUGCCUAGCAAACAGGAGGCCUUGAGUUCAAACCCCAUUAAUGCCA